rnacentral:rRNA from 1 species
GACGAACGCUGGCGGCGUGCUUAACACAUGCAAGUCGAACGGAAAGGCCCUGCUUUUGUGGGGUGCUCGAGUGGCGAACGGGUGAGUAACACGUGAGUAACCUGCCCUUGACUUUGGGAUAACUUCAGGAAACUGGGGCUACUACCGGAUAGGAGCUCCUGCUGCAUGGUGGGGGUUGGAAAGUUUCGGCGGUUGGGGAUGGACUCGCGGCUUAUCAGCUUGUUGGUGGGGUAGUGGCUUACCCAGGCUUUGACGGGUAGCCGGCCUGAGAGGGUGACCGGCGACAUUGGGACUGAGAGACGGCCCAGACUCCUACGGGAGGCAGCAGUGGGGAAUAUGGCACAAUGGGCGGAAGCCUGAUGCAGCAACGCCGCGUGCGGGAUGACGGCCUUCGGGUUGUAAACCGCUUUCGCCUGUGACGAAGCGUGAGUGACGGUAAUGGGUAAAGAAGCACCGGCUAACUACGUG